GCCUUCGUGGUGUAGUGUUAGUACGCUCGGCGCGUAUUCGAGUGGUCAGUGGUUCGAGUCCUGGCGAGGGCA
rnacentral:tRNA from 1 species